AUUAAAAGCAUUCUUUUCGAUUAAUAUCGAUUAUUUUUUAUUGCAAUCAUGUUAGGUUAGUUUAUCAGUUUGACGUUUGACGGUUAACUAUUUUGCAGUUAUUUUUUUUUCUCAACUAAAACCUAUUUUACAGUCAGAAAAUAAGAUCUUGAUUAAUUAAAGUGAUCAUAUUUAAAAUAAUUUGAUAUAUUAAUAUUAUUUCUGAUAAACUUAUGUCAAUUUUGUACUAAUUGACUGCAACAGGAUAAUCACUUGUCUUUAUAAAAUUUGGACCUUAAACUCGUGUGUUUGCUAAACAGAGACACUUUCUAGCAGUUCUCAAAUGUCACUUUCAUUUUCUGCAACGUGAAUUUUUAUAUUACAUAAAAUAACGUUCUCAGAUUUAAAUAAUACACGUUUAGUUCUUCUCGAGCUUGACUUUUAUAACACACUGAAGCAUAUAUCAAAUUAGCAAAUCGGACUUUAUUCUACAUCAUAAAAGUUUCAGAAAUAAUUUGCAUCACAGAAUUUAUUGAAUCGAAUUCAUUAGACUAUCGUGAUUUCAAAAAUAAUGCAUAAUAUCCACGAAAAUAUAUUGAGGUUUCUAUCAUGGAUUUUUUUGCAAUAACAUGAAAUUCAUUUUUUAAUUAACGAUCACCGUAUGGGACAAUAAGAAAAUAAAUUUGUAACAAUGCUUGUAAAAAUAUGGAUUGAUUAGAUUGUUUUAUUCAAUAAAUCUUCAGGAUAAUCAUGCAGAAGGAUUAAAAUGACAAGGUUGACUAAUUAUUCCGUUUAAUAAGCAUAAGUAUUAAAUUGGAAUUUGUCCUGAAUAUACAUAGAAAUCUCUUAUUUAUCCGACACAUAGAAAACCUGAUUACAUCUGUUAUUUAAAAUGAUAGUGUCAACAAAUAUUUUUCCUUUUUUCGAAAAACAGUUUUUUUUUUGGAUCACUUUUACCAUUCGUCAACGUAAAAUAAUAAUAAAAAAAAGGAAAUGGAAAAAAAGGAGAAAAAUGAAAUUUGAAAUUUAGAUGCGAAUGAGGAU